UCCAGAGAUGGACUGGUGCCUUCGGGAACUGUGAGACAGGUGCUGCAUGGCUGUCGUCAGCUCGUGUUGUGAAAUGUUGGGUUAAGUCCCGCAACGAGCGCAACCCUUAUCCUUUGUUGCCAGCGAUUAGGUCGGGAACUCAAAGGAGACUGCCAGUGAUAAACUGGAGGAAGGUGGGGAUGACGUCAAGUCAUCAUGGCCCUUACGACCAGGGCUACACACGUGCUACAAUGGCGCAUACAAAGAGAAGCGACCU
rnacentral:rRNA from 1 species